rnacentral:rRNA from 1 species
UACGUAGGGCGCAAGCGUUGUCCGGAUUUAUUGGGCGUAAAGAGCGUGUAGGCGGCCAGGUAGGUCUGCUGUGAAAACUCGAGGCUUAACCUCGAGAUGUCGGCGGAAACCAUCUGGCUAGAGUCCGGAAGAGGAGAAUGGAAUUCCCGGUGUAGCGGUGAAAUGCGCAGAUAUCGGGAAGAACACCCGUGGCGAAGGCGGUUCUCUGGGACGGUACUGACGCUGAGACGCGAAAGCGUGGGGAGCGAACAGG